GACGAACGCUGGCGGCGUGCUUAACACAUGCAAGUCGAACGGAAAGGCCCUGCUUGCAGGGUACUCGAGUGGCGAACGGGUGAGUAACACGUGGGUGAUCUGCCCUGCACUUCGGGAUAAGCCUGGGAAACUGGGUCUAAUACCGGAUAGGAGCCAUUUUUCGUGUGAUGGUUGGAAAGUUUUUUCGGUGUAGGAUGAGCUCGCGGCCUAUCAGCUUGUUGGUGGGGUAAUGGCCUACCAAGGCGGCGACGGGUAGCCGGCCUGGGAGGGUGGACGGCCACAUUGGGACUGAGGUACGGCCCAGACUCCUACGGGAGGCAGCAGUGGGGAAUAUUGCACAAUGGGCGCAAGCCUGAUGCAGCGACGCCGCGUGGGGGAUGACGGCCUUCGGGUUGUAAACUCCUUUCGCUAGGGACGAAGCUUUUUGUGACGGUACCUAGAUAAGAAGCACCGGCUAACUACGUG
rnacentral:rRNA from 1 species